AACGAACGCUGGCGGCGUGCUUAACACAUGCAAGUCGAACGCGAAAGGGAUUUCGGUCCUGAGUAGAGUGGCGCACGGGUGAGUAACGCGUAAGUUAUCUACCCCUCCAUCUGGAAUAACUCACCGAAAGGUGUGCUAAUACCGGAUACGUUGGAAACAAGAAAGGUGGCCUCUAUUUAUAAGCUACCGUGGAGGGAUGAGCUUGCGUACCAUUAGCUAGUUGGUAGGGUAAUGGCCUACCAAGGCAACGAUGGUUAGCGGGUCUGAGAGGAUGAUCCGCCACACUGGAACUGGAACACGGACCAGACUCCUACGGGAGGCAGCAGUGAGGAAUAUUGCGCAAUGGGGGAAACCCUGACGCAGCGACGCCGCGUGGAUGAUGAAGGCCUUUGGGUCGUAAAAU
rnacentral:rRNA from 1 species